rnacentral:rRNA from 1 species
AGAGUUUGAUCCUGGCUCAGAACGAACGCUGGCGGCAGGCCUAACACAUGCAAGUCGAACGAGAAGCCACCUUCGGGUGGUGGACAGUGGCAGACGGGUGAGUAACGCGUGGGAACGUGCCUUUCGGUUCGGGAUAACCCAGGGAAACUUGGACUAAUACCGGAUACGCCCUUCGGGGGAAAGAUUUAUUGCCGAAAGAUCGGCCCGCGUCGGAUUAGCUAGUUGGUGAGGUAAAAGCUCACCAAGGCGACGAUCCGUAGCUGGUCUGAGAGGAUGACCAGCCACACUGGGACUGAGACACGGCCCAGACUCCUACGGGAGGCAGCAGUGGGGAAUAUUGGACAAUGGGCGCAAGCCUGAUCCAGCCAUGCCGCGUGGGUGAAGAAGGCCUUAGGGUUGUAAAUCCCUUUCAGCGGGGAAGAUAAUGACGGUACCCGCAGAAGAAGCCCCGGCUAACUCCGUGCCAGCAGCCGCGGUAAUACGGAGGGGGCUAGCGUUGUUCGGAAAUACUGGGGCGUAAGCGCGCGUAGGCGGACCUGUAAGUCGGGGGUGAAAGCCCGAGGCUCAACCUCGGAACUGGCUCCGAUACUACAGGUCUUGAGUCCGAAAGAGGUGAGUGGAAUUUCUAGUGUAGAAGUGAAAUUCGUAGAUAUUAGGAGGAACACCCAUGGCGAAAGGCGGCUCAUUGGCUCGGUACUG